UAGAGGAAGGUUACUUCAGUCAUAAUUGUGCGAAAAAACUUGGAUGCUAUUGAUACUUAUGAUGUCAGGCCCAAGAAGAGAAAACUAGAUCUAGAUGUUGAAUGGCAGGGCCGCUCAUGAAAGACAAAGGCAGAAGGCAAAAUAAUAGAUAUUGGAUGCUUUUCCGAGAUGGCCUCAAGGAAGAGAAACACUGUUGCCUCAUCCAGUGUUGGACAUCCAUAAAAGUAAUCUUCGGGCGAAAGACAAGAAUUACUGAUAGAAGAACAAGGAAUAGCAGAGCUGGUUUCAGACAUGCCAGAUGAUCAAAUAUGCAAGACGCUCUUGGCGACAGGAGAUGGACAUCAGCAGGCCCACAUCCACCAUACCUUGACCUUCCUGUGGCCUUGGCAAUCCCCUUACCACACUGGAGUUGCAAUAACCAAGCAAGAAACAUAUUACUAUUCACCCAGACUACUACUGUCCUUUUUCUGGAACUUUAUUUUCAAAAAACAACCAGUGGACUUCUGAACUUUACACAUAACUAAUAAAUUCACACAUAAACAAAUGUCAACAUGGAUUUUCAUAAGACACCUAGACCUACCUAUAAAGCUAUGGCUGCAGUAAGCUCUAAUAACCUUGUCAAUUAUUUAUACACAUUUUUAAAGGCCAAUCAUAUGAUUAUGGCUUGCUUCCGAUAAGAAAACACACAACACAUAUUAUUCUUAUACAAUUCCUGUGUUUCUUACGUAUGUGACAAUAUAUACUGCCACCGUGUAGUUCUGUAUUUUGUGUAUGAAUGUGGCCUACUUCAUAUAAGACAUAUAGUCCACUUAUAUUAGUUACAUGUUUCCGCAGUACCCAUAUAAGAAUACUUUUGAUUCAUAGAGACCCUUUCGAAAGUACCAUACGUGGCACAGUUAUACAGGUGUAAUAGGAUGGGCUAUUGUGCUAGAAAAUGUUUAAUAGGUUACUGGAAUUAUAUUGAAUAUUGUUUAUUCAUGAUAUCAAAUAUCCCUGCAUUAGAGAGUGGGAAAGAGAGUUAUGUUCAGAAGUGAUGCAUUUUUAUAAUGAAUUAGUCCUAUGAAAUAUCCAUUGACAUUUUGCAUGCUGAGCGCUAUUGCAAAUGCACCUCGUACCUCGUAUAAUUUGCUCCCUCAUUCUCGGCCCUAGAGCAUCUAUUCCAGCCCUCGCUGCUCGACUUGGACCCUGGGCAGCUCGAGCCUGGCCCUGGGGUACACGCACCUUGUACAACCUGUCCUUGUCCUCCUCUCAUCUGUGGACCAUGUCCUCUUCCUCGGCUAGUCUGAUGACGAGCAACACAUUGUAUAGAUUGCUUGUCAAUAUGG